CAAUAGCGUAUAUUAAAGUUGUUGCGGUUAAAAAGCUCGUAGUUGGAUUUCUGCUGAGAACGACCGGUCCGCCCUCUGGGUGUGUAUCUGGCUCUUUCUUGGCAUCUUCUUGGUGAACGUUGCUGCACUUGACUGUGUGGAGCGCUACCCAGGACUUUUACUUUGAGGAAAUUAGAGUGUUUCAAGCAGGCAUACGCCUUGAAUACAUUAGCAUGGAAUAAUAAGAUAGGACCUCGGUUCUAUUUUGUUGGUUUCUAGAGCUGAGGUAAUGAUUAAUAGGGAUAGUUGGGGGCAUUCGUAUUUAACUGUCAGAGGUGAAAUUCUUGGAUUUGUUAAAGACGAACUACUGCGAAAGCAUUUGCCAAGGAUGUUUNCAUUG
rnacentral:rRNA from 1 species